rnacentral:tRNA from 1 species
GGUUUGUGGCUCAGCGGUAGAGCACUUGCCUAGCAUGUGUGAGGCCCUGGGUUCCACCCUCAGCACCA